CAGACGCGCACAAAAAAGGCCACUCUUUCGAGUAGCCUUUUUUGAUGUU
rnacentral:sRNA from 1 species